AACGAACGCUGGCGGCGCGCUUAAUACAUGCAAGUCGAACGAGAAGGUGUAGCAAUACACUUGUAAAGUGGCGAACGGGUGAGGAAUACAUGGGUAACCUACCCUCGAGUGGGGAACAACCAGCCGAAAGGUUGGCUAAUACCGCGUACGCUUCCGGGUCUUCGGAUUCGGAAGGAAAGUCAUACCGUGGGUAUGACGCUCAAGGAUGGGCUCAUGUCCUAUCAGCUUGUUGGUAGGGUAACGGCCACCAAGGCUCCGACGGGUAGCUGGUCUGAGAGGACGAUCAGCCACACUGGCACUGCGACACGGGCCAGACUCCUACGGGAGGCAGCAGUGGGGAAUAUUGGACAAUGGGCGCAAGCCUGAUCCAGCGAUGCCGCGUGUGUGAAGAAGGCCUGCGGGUUGUAAAGCACUUUCAGUAGGGAAGAAAGGCCGAGUGCUAAUAUCACUCGGUCUUGACGUUACUUACAGAAGAAGCACCGGCUAACU
rnacentral:rRNA from 1 species